UGCGCCGGCGCGGUGGGGCCCGGACGGGAGCGCCCGGGGCCUCGGCUGCUCCUCGGCGCUGCUGGGGCGGCGGGGGCUGGGAGGAGCGGUCUGUGCUCCUGCCCUGCCUCCCUCCUGGCCCGCUGAGCCGCGGGGCUCCCUUCGGCCCGGCGCGUGUCCUGUGGGGAAGCGCCGGUGUUGGAAGGCCCGCUGCUGGGCGCCUGGCGCUCGCGGGACGGCGGCUGUACCGAGGAGUUGUUGGAUCGGGGGGCCCCGUCUGCUCCGUGCAGGCCUUUCAGAUGAGGCUGUGUGAGCUGAGAGCGGGUUCCCUGUUUGUUAGACCCGAACAGCUGAGCUCUGCUGUUAACAGCAGCUGAGCAGAGCUGGAGGAAGCCGGGGAGCUGGCAGGCAGCACGGGACAGAGCUGGAAGGGCUGGAGUCUGUGCCACGUCUCACUGCCAGGAUCUCCUGAGCAUGGUCUCUGGCACGCCUGAUGAGUAGAAUCUCCUUGCCCGAGGUGGAGAGCUCUUCGGAUUUGGAAGGAUCUAAGGUCCCAGGUCCUGCUCUCUCAGGUCCUCUGCUCCAAGUGACAUCAGGACGGAUUUGGAGGCUGCUUUUAGCGCUUUCUGACAGAGGAGGGAGCUGUCAGCUCACCGUUCACCGCUCUGCAAGCAGCGAUGCCCACUUGGGAGCAAGUUAAGCUGUCUUGGACGCCCACGGAAGGAAAAAGUUAAGCCUGACUUGCAGGAGGUGAACACUAGCCUGGAAGCGUUUGAAUCUUUUGCUUUAAGUGCAUGUAGGGGGUGUUUUUUGUCCCUGUGCAAUUAAACCCUCCGUAGCUAGUCUGCAGGAACAGUAGGAGCAGCAGGCCUUGGAGGCUGUUCAGAGAUGGAACAUUUGGCCAUGGGGUCUUGCACUUUUGAUUGCUGUAGCAAUGCCCCCUCCUGCUGCACCCAGAGCCCCUGGAAAGCUGCAGCCUGUGCCACUCCUUCCUUGCUAACAGCUGGAGCCAGGGCACCCUCCUCUGUGUCCGAGCAAUGCAGGCAGCCUGUUUCUCUGGGAUCCCUGCCAGGCAGCAGAAGCAGACAAGCAAAAAGCUUGGUUAAACUGGUCUGAGGUUAACUCAAGCCAACGUGAACUGGUCUGAAGUGGAAUAACAACCUGAUCCCAUCUGCUCUUUCUCCUGGUACAACUCAUGGGGAGCCUUCCUGCCUCAGCCAGUAGCAGUGUGACAAAGUGUGCCUUAAUUACAACCCUCAAAUAGAACACAUUCCUUCAUUAGACGUUGCUUUACAGCUGCAUCAGUCACCUUCUGUCCAGCUGCCCGUGGCACAGCUCCAGGUGGGUUGAACCUUGCUGGUUUGGCAGGUACGUGGGGAGUGGUGGUUUGGGCGCGUGGCUGGGCAGGAUGGGGCUCUGAGUCAGAAGCUCCUGGUGACGUUACUAAAUUCAAUUGACCACAAAGGCCUUUUUCUACUUCAUACUGGAGCUGUCUCUCUGUGGUCUUUCUGCCUUCAGAAAUAUGGCUCAGGCCAUACACACUCAUUUGGUAGCCACUGGAAAAAAGCAAGUAAGAAAAAGGGGUGGCCAUGUUACAUGUUUGUGAAUGGGUUUCCACCACAUGUGUCUCCUGACAGUAAUUAGGUGACUGAAAGUCAAGGCAGUCUGUCUUCUUUGUGCUUCAUUUCUUCAGCCACAGAAAUAAUCCCUGUGUCCAAUGACUUCAUUUUAAAUUGUAGUGAGACCCUAAACUGAUGAUUUAGGAGCACACACUGUCUGUUGUGGUUCUGAUUUUUGUGUGGCUUUGUGCCCAAGGAAGAUGGGUUGUUACCUGAGGAAGGCUAAAUGAGGAGGUAAUACUAAAUGCUACAUAGAACAGAAUCUCUUUUCAUCCCCAGUCAGUCCUCCAAAUCCUGUUAAUCUUUACCCAAGGUACUGCUGCUAGAAACCAGCCUUUCCUCCACCUCAGUGACAGCAUCAGCUCAGUGCUAAUCGUUCCGAGGAGGUCUGAAUUAAUGGUAAAUCUAGUGUGUCUUACACAGCAAUGCCUGACUCACAUCAGCUCACUUGAUCACUUAUUCCAGGAAAAUAACACUCAAAUUUGCCAGAGAACCGUCCCUGACACUGUAAUAUCUGUGGAGUCAAAGCUUUUGGAACUCAGAAUGGCAGUUUCUGGAAGUUUUCCUCUAAACUGGCUCAUAUUGAAAUGUGGGGAUUAUACAGAGAGCUUUGCUAGACUCCUCAAUUUGAGAAGAGUUUAAAAUUCAUCUCUCAGACCCACAGCAGCUUUUGUUCCAGGCAGCUCAGCUUGGACUAACACAAUUGCACAAAAACCUCCCUAGGAAAAAUAAAGGCAUAAACUUGGGAUUUAAUCUGUCCAUUUUAUGCUGAUUUUUAAAAAAGAAUAUUUUUAGCUUCAGUAACUCAGGAAAGGUCUGUAUUUACCUGGGAAAAAAGUUUUUUCCCAGUGACAGGCUCAAGGCAAUCAUUUUGUGUUCUCCUUUAUUUUGGACAAGAGGCAAAGGGUGCAGGAGCAAAUACUGCAGAGGCAUAAUCCUUCCCCUCUCAGGUGAAGUUUCAGAGUUAAAUGGGAAAGAGUCUUGCUUUUAGGCUUCUGAGUUUUCACACAAGUCCCUGUGGGAUGUGUGUCACUGGCCCUCCCCAGCCUCUGUACAGAGUUGGGUUUCUUCAAACAGAACCUUUGCUGGUACUGGAGUAAACACAGAAAAAUGUAGGGGAUGUGCUCGGGGCAAGGGGUAGCAAACUGGAUGUCAUGUCUGUGGCUCUGAGUUGGCUGCUACCUCUGCUACUUCUCUCAGUUCACUUGGCUUUGUCAGGCCGUGCCCCAGGGCUGAAGACCCUCCUGCUUUCUCAGAACUUCAGGGGGACUCUAAGGCUAACUCAGAAGUGCACCAGCAGGCAAUGAGGAAAAGGGGUCAUGUUCUAUGAUUUUAUGUUGAGGUAGUGUCAGAAACUACCUGUGUUUAAUAGCUUUUAUUAUGAAUAGUGUGUCUACUACAACAUGAGGUAGUAGGAAAAGAAAGAAUAUUAUUUAUAUUUAUGAGAAUAUAAAUAAUCAGGGCUUCUGAAAGUCCUUUUGGAAAAGCUCCCCCUCCUCAGAUUUAUGGCAGCUCCCCACAGAUGUUCUUUAGUUGGAGAGGCUUGUGAAGUAUUUUUUCAAGACAGUUUUUUUGCCAGGAAGGAGAUGAAAAUCUAAAACCAAAAAUGUCUUUCAACUUUAAAUUUAGAAUUAUCAUUGUAAUGUAAUUCUUUACACAGCUGCCACAGAGCUUUUUAAAGUGCUAUUUAUAUGUGUGCAUUAGAAACAGGAGCACAACAUGGCUAUAGGAAAUUAAUUUUCAAGCUAGCAAUUAAGGCUGGGACAAAUGUUCAUGUUUGUUGUUGCUUCUGCAGUCACUCUUGUAAAACUAAGGGAGAACCACUGAAAUGAAAGCUCUGUUGGUGUCAUUAUUGCCUGGCUGUUUUGCUUGGUGGAAAGUCAGCUCCUCUCUGGUUAGAGUGCAGUUGUGUAAGGCUCUCAAAAUCCUGUUGAAGUUCCUGAAGCCUGUUAGGGGAUCCCUCAUUAAAAAUGCUGGAUGACAGUCUAAAGUGUCACUCGCUGUCGAGAAUGAGCUUGUUGAUGAGACUGCAUUAAACCCAGCACUUUUUGCAAGCACAGUUUGCAAACCCAGAGAGAUGGAGCGUGGCGUGUUUGUCUUUUCCUUGUUGUGUCUGUCUGGAUGGAAAAUGGAAUAACACUCUGGGUAAAGUAUGUCAUGUUUUCAGCAAGAAAAAAUCUCAACUUCAUCUAGACUUGACGAACAAGAUAGGAGGCUAAAAAAAAAAGACAGAAAUCUGGUUUGUAGAUGUGUAUUCUUGUGUAGCUCAAGGCCAAUAUAAGAUCAUCCUCGGGAUGAAGAAGGAAACACACGAUCUCUACUAAGACAAUGGAAGUUGAAGGCAUGCCACAGGAGUAGAAAUUAAGAAUAUUUCAGUGCAAAUGUCCCUGUAAUACAUUUUUGACCAGGAAAA